GUGGGGAAUCUUGCGCAAUGGGCGAAAGCCUGACGCAGCCAUGCCGCGUGAAUGAUGAAGGUCUUAGGAUUGUAAAAUUCUUUCACCGGGGACGAUAAUGACGGUACCCGGAGAAGAAGCCCCGGCUAACUUCGUGCCAGCAGCCGCGGUAAUACGAAGGGGGCUAGCGUUGCUCGGAAUUACUGGGCGUAAAGGGCGCGUAGGCGGACAGUUUAGUCAGAGGUGAAAGCCCAGGGCUCAACCUUGGAAUUGCCUUUGAUACUGGCUGUCUUGAGUACGGGAGAGGUGAGUGGAACUCCGAGUGUAGAGGUGAAAUUCGUAGAUAUUCGGAAGAACACCAGUGGCGAAGGCGACUCACUGGCCCGUUACUGACGCUGAGGCGCAAAAGCGUGGGGAGCAAACAGGAUUAGAUACCCCUGUAGUCC
rnacentral:rRNA from 1 species